rnacentral:lncRNA from 1 species
UUCCUAGACAAAGUGAAGUUCUUGGGGAGCUUGAUGGUAUCCAUUGAUAUGUUGGAAGCUGAAAAAAAAAUAUCAGUUCAGUUAGAGCUCGAAAUAACAAAAGAAGAACAUAAAAAGGAAAAAAAUAAAAAAAUAUCAGCUUCUUGGUAGUCCUGUAGAUUAGACAUGAAUAUACAUUUCUUGAUGUUACAUUUCUUCUUCACAGAGGUCAGUCGGAGGGCAAAUUUGGUCUACUAGGAUUAAUUUAGGGAAGUCAUUACAACCCUAAGGAAUCCCCCCCAGAAGAGGUUGAUGUCCCAGUUGAUUUCCGAGCUCUCCUUCAAUUCGAUGACAACAAACUAUUCUACCCAAACCCUUUAUGGAAUCCUUAUACCCCGUGAAUAUUAACAAUCCAGUUCGGGUGCCAAAAUAAUAAAACCUGCGUUAGAUCUAACCAAAUAGAAGAAGGUGUAGAACAACUCGAGGGAAUGGGCAAAAUCCCAACAUAAGCAAAUAGACUUGAAACAACACAUAAACAAGAUGGAGUUAGGAGAUAACAUUCAAGGGGUCACUUUUAAAGUGAUGGAAGACCUCGAUGAAAAAGAGGGCAAACAGAAAAGUAAGACCGAACUCAUAUUGCUUUAUGAAAAAGACUAAAUUACGCUCUUGCUGAGCAUCUACUAAGCCUCUCAGCGAUGGGUUAGGAAGAACUAUCUGUUCAUUAGGCAAAGGAGCCCUAAUUUUGCAGAUUGUGGUAUCAGAGAAGUUGCAAAAAAAAUAGUGAGAAAAAGAACGAGUAACAGAAGAGACCAAACCGAUCACUUCAGGAAUCCUAAUAGAAGUUAUGAAAGGAGCAAGACAUACCUCAAAUUGAAAAAUUAGAUAUUAAAGAGAAGAGAAAGAGCAAGAUAGCAGAAGCAGAGCAAGAGGCAGAGCAAUGAGCAAAAGCAAGAGUACAAGUUUGAAGCGGAAAAAGGCAAAGAAAGAACGUUUUUUAUAAAACUCUCCUAGAGCCAUGCUAUGAUAAUUGGAAUCUCGAAAUUUACCUUCUCAUAAAUUAUAGAAUAAUUAAUGAGCAGACAAAGGAACAUUUGAUGACAGCCGAGCUCCAGAAGUCCGGACCUUGAUAAAGCCCAUACUAAAAAGAAUGUGUUUAAGUUCAAUUAGGGUUUAAGGCGCAGCUCAAUGCCCAUCCGGAGUCU